ACUUAAAUAAUUUAAUUAAAAUAUUGAUUUGUGGUAUCAAAAAUAUGAAUGUAUCAUUUUAGGUU
rnacentral:tRNA from 1 species